AGUGAACGCUGGCGGUAGGCCUAACACAUGCAAGUCGAACGGCAGCACAGUAAGAGCUUGCUCUUACGGGUGGCGAGUGGCGGACGGGUGGGGAAUACAUCGGAAUCUACUUUUUCGUGGGGGAUAACGUAGGGAAACUUACGCUAAUACCGCAUACUACCUACGGGUGAAAGCAGGGGAUCUUCGGACCUUGCGCGAUUGAAUGAGCCGAUGUCGGAUUAGCUAGUUGGCGGGGUAAAGGCCCACCAAGGCGACGAUCCGUAGCUGGUCUGAGAGGAUGAUCAGCCACACUGGAACUGAGACACGGUCCAGACUCCUACGGGAGGCAGCAGUGGGGAAUAUUGGACAAUGGGCGCAAGCCUGAUCCAGCCAUACCGCGUGGGUGAAGAAGGCCUUCGGGUUGUAAAGCCCUUUUGUUGGGAAAGAAAAGCAGCAGGUUAAUACCCCGCUGUUCUGACGGUACCCAAAGAAUAAGCACCGGCUAACUUCGUG
rnacentral:rRNA from 1 species